rnacentral:rRNA from 1 species
UACGGUAGGGGGCAAGCGUUGUCCGGAUUUACUGGGCGUAAAGAGCGCGCAGGCGGUCGUUCAAGUCGCGUGUGAAAGCCCCCGGCUCAACUGGGGAGGGUCACGCGAUACUGAUCGACUCGAAGGCAGGAGAGGGUAGUGGAAUUCCCGGUGUAGUGGUGAAAUGCGUAGAUAUCGGGAGGAAUACCGGUGGCGAAGGCGGCAUCCUGGACCGGCAUUGACGCUGAGGAGCGAAAGCCAGGGGAGCAAAGCGGG